GUCCAAGACUGAUACAGUUCUUAUCUUAUGUAGAAAGAAAACAGAAAACAUGCGGUGGGAAUACUUUACUCAGGUUGAAAAGGAAUGUAAAGAGAAAGAAAAGCCUUCAUACGACACUGAAACAGAUCCUAGUGAGGGAUUAAUGAAUGUUCUAAAGAAAAUUUAUGAAGAUGGAGAUGAUGAUAUGAAGCGAACCAUUAAUAAAGCCUGGGUGGAAUCAAGAGAGAAGCAAGCCAAAGGAGAUACAGAAUUUUGAGACUUUUUAAAAAAAGUUUUUCUGGGAACUGUGAUGUGGAAAUAUGGAUGUUUCCAAUAAGGGAAUGUUGGAGAGAUGCACAUAUAAAUUUGACGUAACUAUUUACACAGUAAAGGCAGUAAAUUCUCCAUUUCUUUACUGGAGGAUUUGUUUAAAUAAAAUGUGCUUAUUAAAUACUUCAAAGAUGG